CUUCCUUUUCGCUUGGUCGCUCAGACACACACACACACUCGCCCACCCACCAGUUCCUUCUUCCUCUUUUCUGAGUAAAUAUGGCCAGAGAAGAAGAAGAUGGAAGAUCAAACCAAGAAAAGCAAGACGACCCACAACCCCAUCUCCACCAAACGUUCUCUUCUUACAUUGGCCUUAGCUUCUCUCUCUUCUUGGCAUCAUUGCCAAGCAACUCUUUCAGUUUUGUACAAAAGCUUCAAUCCCAAAUCAGAGACCUCUCAUUGCGCCUUUUCCAAGCUGAGGAGCAGCUUAAACAAAUGAAAUCCAGGAGAAAAGAGGACUCCAAGGCCAAUGCAAGAGUUGUUGAGAUCUUUGCCAGCCAUAGGAACUCAUGGCAGGCGGAGGAGAAGCGGCUACUGCAGCAGAUCGAUGCUGCUAGUGAGGAAAUGGCAUCACUAAGAGCAAGAAUUGAAGAUUUUCAGGGAGAGAGGGAGGAGUGGAAAGCUAGAAUUCAAGACUUGGAAAGAGAGGUUGGGGAGAGAGAGGAGAUGAUUAGGUUUAUGUCUAGAAAUGCUAUUGCUGAUUUUGCAGUGGAGGACAACGUAGUGGACCAAUCUGGUGGUGGCUGCGGGAGCAGGGAGUGGGAGGAGGAGAAUGUUAAUUUUGUUUAUGGCCAGCAUCAUCAUCAGCAGCAACAGCAGCAGCAAACCAUUAAUGGAGGUUUAAGUUCGGAUUUCUUAGCUUCUGCUUCUAAGUUUUGGGCUGAUAAAGCUAAUCUCUGGCAGGUUAGCCUGGUUGGCAAGUGAGUUAGCUCCCUAUAUUGUAUGCUAGGGAUCAAAUCUUGUGGCAGACCACAAAGAAUUCAUUUGUGAAUUCCCUAUCCUGGCAUGAAUGGUAUGCUUUUGAUCAGACUGGAUAGAUGCACCACAUUACCAUAAUUCCAAAAUGAAAUAUUGUUAGUUAGCCUCAUAAGCUAGUGCUUAAUUAAAAAUACUUUGUAUUAAAGUGUACUCAGUGAUCCAUAUUUGUCUAAUUCUCCAUACUUAAUACGUGAUUGAUGGUUUAAUUUUUUCUUGUUUACAAGUUUACAACUAGAAGAUUAACAGAUCCGUAUACCCUUUUCAAAAUUAGCUACUACAUUUGCUUCUCAUCCUAUCCAAAGCUUGUAGCAUUACAAUCAAAACAAAACCUUCUACAAUUAAGUUUCCAAGGAUUCUGCAUAAAGUUGUCAGCAUUGCCAAGAAGUGUGUAAUUCUUCUGAUGAUCAUUUCUGAUCCUGGUAAAAUAUGGGCCUGGUCCAUUUUCCCCAGAUGAACAAGUUGUAUAUGAUGUAUAACCUGGCAACACAGCUAACUGCAUCUGUUAAAUAUUUAAAAUCCAUUUUGCAGAAGGUCUGUUUAAUUAUUUAGAAUAAAAGGAAGUCCACAUACUAUAAGUAUACUGCAAGGGAUUUUAUGCCUACUUUUCCUAGUGGCAGCAACAGAUUCCAUUCAGUUGAAUUUUUGUCAGUUUGGUUGACAUUGAAUUCAUAAAAGAUCUUUUAUGGUAGGUUGAAGUUCUAGAUUUCUUCAGGAACGAGAAAUGAUUUUAGCUGUAUAUAUUGAGAAACUAUUGGCUGCUUCCUGAUCUUUUAUCUUGUUUCCACAGCUUCAGUUAAUGGAGCAUUUUAUGUAAGUUACAAGAGAUUAUCACAGAAGAUAACUUUAUACACGGAGUUGGUUUUUUGGGUCUUGUAAUUUUAAAUGUUUAUUAUUGCAGAUUUUAAUGUUGAAACUGAAUUCUUGCAGGAUAUGCACUAUGAACCUGUUGAAUCACUAUAUCAUAUGAAGCAUUUUGUAGCAAGAAGGGAGUCUCCGUGGAAGGUAGAUGGUGAAUCAACAGGAAUUUCCUCUAAAUUAAAAUUACUUGAACAGGAACUUCAGAAUUUGGAAAAAGUUGACAAAAAUGAUCUGUCAAAGGUUCCAUCACUGAUGAGAAAGCAGGCAAAAAGAUAUCAAGCUCUUGCAGGAAAGAUUGAUGAUCUAUGCAGAAGACUGGUAAUGCACAUAUAUUUUUUUCUGUGUUCCUAUUGUUUUGUGCUUUCAUGCGAUUUUUGAUGAUUUAUUUUCUUGUAUUUUCUUUAGGAACUCUACUGCUCAAAUCAAGCAAGAUAAUUUUGUUCCUGAAAUAUGCAAACAAAUUUCUGGGCUUCUUAAAUUCUUUGGGUUUUGAGUAUUUGACUUAGUGGGGCUUCUAAUCAAUGUGUUGCUUAAUUUUUAGGAAACUAAGGAUUGAUAUCUUGCUGGAAGUCUUGUGUAUGGGAUUUUGGAUUUGUUAAUGCUGAAGCUGAAAUUUUUCAAACAUUUUUUAUUAACCAUAUUACCUGUCAAACUAUAUUUGUCAACAUUUUUGUCUGGAUUAGUAUGCAUUUUCAUUUUAUAUUUGCAUUUGAGAAAAAAAAAAGUUUGGGAUGGAUGGAACAUGAGUUUCAUAUUGUAGUAUGAGAGAUUUUUCUUGUCUAGACCCGGUCCACAUGGAUCCAAGAUAUAUGAUGUAUGGUAGGAUCCACCUAUUGCAUGGAUUACAUAUAUUUGUAUCUUGGGUCUAUGAUGAAUCAGGUGUAGGCAAGAAUUCUAUGUAUGAGAGGAGCCACUAAAUCUCGUUGGAGUGUUGUCAACCAGUUAUUAUGGUCAGUAUUAAUGACAAAUUCAGUGCUCAUCAAUUUCCAGUUUCCCACCCACUCUUAACAUUUUUUAUUUUUGUGGGGCCUAGAUUGAAAAAAUUAUGAUUUGUUAAGUUGUAUCCAUUAAAAAACUUAAAUGCAGUGUUGAAAAAGGAUGAUAGUCUUAAUGUACUGAUUACGAUGUUAUGUUGAUAUGUCUCUUUCUGCAGUAUCCACACACAUUAACACACACAAAGUUGUAGCCCUAGAAACUUUUAACUCUCUGAUAUUUCUCUUCUACUUUUUCCAAAAGUGAAUAGGUUCUUAUGGGGCAUGUGCGUAUGUUUCCUAAAGCUUUUCUAUGACUUUGCAGCAAGCUAGUGAUCCCUGUGAAUCCACACUCAGUCCAGAGUUCAGUACACAAAGGCAAACUGAAUUUUUGCUUGAAGCAUUUCGGCUUCAACAGCGUGCAUCUGAAACUGCACAAAAGCUGAUGGCAUUACAAACUGAGGUUGGGAAGAGUUACUAUGGGGAUGAACUGGGCAGCGAGGCGAAACUCAGCAUGAGACGCUCUUUUGACUCCAUUAGAAACAACUUAAAAGAAGUUCAGAGAAACUUGGAAAUAUGGUUGGCCAGAAUUAUUGGAGAUCUUGAAGGGAUUCUGGCCAGGGAUGGCGUCUCCCGUGCUAAUGCGAGGGAAUAUUACGUUUCUAGAUAUCCUUUUGUUCAAUAAAAACUUCUCAGCAAUAUGAAGUCCUGAUCUAACCGAAAUAUAUUAAAAUCUCGUUUGGUAAAUAGGUUGAUCUUGUCUUGUAAGCCCUAAAGCAGCAGAUGAAUAUAGCUAUGGAAAUGUAAUCAUUACAGUAUGUCUAUGGUAACAUCAGCAGAACUGAUAUAUCUUCCAAUUGAAGUAAUUAGCUAGAUAUCUGUGGGAUGCUAUGUAUAUGCUUAGGGUAAAUUAUAUAGACGGUAUCUCAAUUUAGUAUCUCAAUUUAGGGGUAUAUAAUAAUAUAAAGUAUCUAAAUUUCAAAUUAUAACACAAAGUUUUAUAAUAUUUAAUUUAAGCAAUAUAAAACUCUUAUGAU
rnacentral:misc_RNA from 1 species